GUUAUUGUAGCUUACACUCCUCAAGCAUGGCACUGAAGAUGCCAAGAUAGAUCAAAGAAUCUCAUUAACA
rnacentral:tRNA from 1 species